rnacentral:rRNA from 1 species
AACGAACGCUGGCGGCACGCCUAACACAUGCAAGUCGAACGAUGGCUUCGGCCUUACUGGCGCACGGGUUCGUAACCCGUUGGAUUCUGCCCUUUUCUUCUGCCUUUCAGUUUGAAAUGACUGCUAAUACCGGUUGCUUUCGCCAGACCAAAGAUUUCUCGGCAAAGUAUGAGCCCGCGUAGGAUUAGCUUUUUGGUUGGGGAAAGGCCUACCCAGGCGAGGAUCCUUAGCUGGUCUGAGAGGAAGAUCAGCCACACUGGGACUGAGACACGGCCCAGACUCCGACGGGAGGGAGCAGAGGGGAAUAUUGGAGAAGGGGCGAAAGCCUGAUCCAGCAAUGCGGGGGGAGUGAUGAAGGGCGUAGGGUUGUAAAGCUCGUUUACACGGGAUGAUAAUGACAGUACCGGGAGAAUAAGCUCCGGCUAACUACGUG